rnacentral:rRNA from 1 species
ACACGUAGGGGGCGAGCGUUGUUCGGAAUCAUUGGGCGUAAAGGGCGCGCAGGCGGCGAGGCAAGUCCGGUGUGAAAGUGCUCGGCUCAACCGAGUGAUGCGCUGGAUACUGCCCUGCUUGAGUACAGGAGGGGACGUCGGAAUUCCAGGUGUAGGGGUGAAAUCUGUAGAUAUCUGGAAGAACACCGGUGGCGAAGGCGGACGUCUGGCCAUGUACUGACGCUGAGGCGCGAAGGUGCGGGGAGCGAACAGGUUUAGAUACCCUGGUAGUCCGCACAGUAAACGAUGUGCACCAGGUGGCGGGGGGUAGCCCUCGGUACCGAAGCCAACGCAUUAAGUGCACCGCCUGGGGAGUAUGCUCGCAAGGGUGAAACUCAAAGGAAUUGACGGGG